GUAGGUGGCAAGCGUUGUCCGGAUUUAUUGGGCGUAAAGCGAACGCAGGCGGGAAGAUAAGCCAGCUGUGAAAGCCCUCGGCUCAACCGGGGAACGGCAACUGAAACUAUUUUUCUUGAGUGCAGAAGAGGAGAGUGGAACUCGAUGUGUAGCGGUGGAAUGCGUAGAUAUAUGGAAGAACACCAGUGGCGAAGGCGGCUCUCUGGUCUGUAACUGACGCUGAGGUUCGAAAGCAUGGGUAGCGAACAGGAUUAGAUACCCUGGUAGUCCAUGCCGUAAACGAUGAGUGCUAAGUGUUGGGAGGUUUCCGCCUCUCAGUGCUGCAGUAACGCAUUAAGCACNCCGCCUGGGGAGUACGACCGCAAGGUUA
rnacentral:rRNA from 1 species